rnacentral:lncRNA from 7 species
AUCUUGUGUCGUAGAGAAUAAGUUUCCCUUGAGUAAGCUAUACUAAGACAAUCCAAAAUGGUAAAUUUGUAUUUCAUUCAUAUGGAUUGUAAUCUUUUUUUUAAUAGCUACUCUUGAUGCAGUUUAAAAUUCCCUUAUCGUUAAUUCUAAAAGUGCAUAAGAAUAUUUUUGUUGAUAUUCAUCACAUACAUAUGCACUAACAUGGAUAUGAUUUUUAAACUGUAAAAGGUACAAUUAGUGAUCCAUACUCUCUAAAUUUUGGAAAUCCAUAUUUUGAUAUCUUAGAAAUCUACUUCAAUCGAUAUCCAUAUGCUUCACAUUGAAUUGGAUCACUAAGUUGUAAAUUCCAUGCAUAACUUGUCUUUAUGAUAUGAAUGCUUGUGCGACUAACCUUGAUAAGCUAGGUGCACCCAAAGUCAAGGUAGGUUCAUCAUCAAGAAGGCAACACAAUGAUGUAUUAAUAAAAGGAGAAAAGGCUCCUAUUCUUAACUCUAGUUUUUAUCUAUGUGAUUAAAUAUUGACUUGAAACCAUGUAAGAUGGUUGUCAAGUAUAUGUGGGUGCCUACACAAAGAGAAAGGCCACAAUAAGGAUUGUGUGGGUACUCAAGGCUCUUACUACUAAUCUCAAAGGACCCAAUUCAAAUUGGGUACCAAGAUAUGAGGCUUAAACUUGUUUUGCAGGAUCACUCAUUCAAUGGAUCAAGUUGGGUGCUCGAUAAUGAAUGUAUAAAUCAUCUUUGGAGAUAGUAGCAAGGGUGGUAACAACUGAAUCUCAAGUGCAAAUUAUUUUCAAAUCUUAUCUCUUUUGUGACUUGUGUAGCCACUAAGGGAAAAGAAGCACUUGAGGAUAUACAUCAGUUGUUGAUUAUGAAAUAAAGGUCUAAUUGGAAGUUGAAUGAAUAUUAUCAUAUGGUGAACAAUCCAAAAUUAUGUGACGUAUUCUCUAUCUAGUUAAUUUGGAUUUGAUUCUUCUAUAUUAGACACACACAAUAAUAUGGAUUAAGUCAUCCCUCUAGGCUUCAUUGAAUAACUAUGCAUAUUAUCCAUGUCAUUCAAAAUAUAUUGUGCAUGAGGGCUCAAGGAAAAUUCAGUCCAUAUUAUGAGGUUUCUUUAUUUUAGCAACUCGCUUGCCUUCCACAUAUAAAGGGUUGCAAAAUAAGAAACUAGUGCUUGUGCUACUAAUGCCAUCUCUUGUGUUGAGUUUAUCCAUAGAAAAUCUAUGUUAAGAGAUGGUGCUUGUUUUACAUUGGAUAAACCACAAGCUUAAAGGAUACUAUUCAACUAAAGUAAGAUGAAGUUGAUAAGAGGCCAAGGUAUGAAAACUUCCUCUCCUUCAGUUGUUUUAGUAUUCUAUCCUUAGUGGGAUGUACCAUAGUAUAGGUUAAUUUCCUUGCAAUAUAAAAUGUUCAAUAGUGCAUAUAACUUUGACAUCAACUAUAUGUGUGCACUAAUUUAAAGGAAUUUAGUCUAUCCUUUUGGGUUUCAAUAAUGAUGAUUCAUUUGCCAUCCACAUAUAAGGAUCAUCAUUUGUGAAACCCUCUCUUGUGUUUUUAAUGCUCUCUUUUCUAAGUGUUACAACGAGGUCCUUCCAAGAGCUUUCAAGAUGGAUUCAAACUCUACAAAAAUUGAAUGAAGUUCAAGACCACUUGGUUGAAUGAAAUCACAAAGAGAAAAGAGAUCACAGUGAAUCAAGAAGGGAGUUAUAUUUUUUUGUCAACCAAAUAAUGAAGAUGUAGUGACAUAUUUAUAUGAUAUCCUUCAUUAUGAGGUUGAGGUUCAUAUUAGCAUGCUUUACCCUCCAAGAUUUCAAUUGAUAUACUUUUAGUUCUUAAACUUUUAAUUGGUUUAAUUUUCAUCAUCUAUGUAAAGCAUGUUAUGUUAAACCAAGAUAUAGUGCAAAC